AGCGAACGCUGGCGGCAGGCCUAAUACAUGCAAGUCGAACGCCCCUUCGGGGGAGUGGCGGACGGGUGAGUAACGCGUGGGAAUAUGCCCUAUGGUGCGGAACAACUGAGGGAAACUUCAGCUAAUACCGCAUGUGCCCUACGGGGGAAAGAUCUAUCGCCAUAGGAGUAGCCCGCGUUGGAUUAGCUAGUUGGUGGGGUAAUGGCUCACCAAGGCUACGAUCCAUAGCUGGUCUGAGAGGAUGAUCAGCCACACUGGGACUGAGACACGGCCCAGAAUCGUACGGGAGGCAGCAGUAGGGAAUCUUGCGGAGCGGGUGAAAGGCUGACGCAGCCAUGUCGCGUGAAUGAUGGAGGGCUUAGGAAUGUAAAAUUCUUUCACCGGGGACGAUAAUGGCGGUACCCGGAGAAGAAGCGCCGGCUAACUUCGUGCCAGCCGCCGCGGUACAAC
rnacentral:rRNA from 1 species